rnacentral:misc_RNA from 1 species
AGCAGCCGCGGUAAUUCCAGCUCCAAUAGCGUAUAUUAAAGUUGUUGCAGUUAAAAAGCUCGUAGUUGAAUUUCGGGAUCAAUUUGCUGGUCGUGCCUUUGGUACGUACUGGUAUUAUUGGUUUCUCCCUUCUGACGAACCAUGAUGUCAUUAAUUUGAUGUCGUGGAGAAUCAGGACUGUUACUUUGAAAAAAUUAGAGUGUUUAAAGCAGGCAUUAGCUUGAAUACAUUAGCAUGGAAUAAUGAAAUAGGACGUUUGAUCCUAUUUUGUUGGUUUCUAGGAUUGACGUAAUGAUUAAUAGGGAUAGUUGGGGGCAUUAGUAUUCAAUUGUCAGAGGUGAAAUUCUUGGAUUUAUUGAAGACUAACUACUGCGAAAGCAUUUGCCAAGGAUGUUUUCAUUAAUCAAGAACGAAAGUUAGGGGAUCGAAGACGAUCAGAUACCGUCGUAGUCUUAACCAUAAACUAUGCCGACUAGGGAUCGGAUGAUGUUAAUUUUUAAUGACUCAUUCGGCG